UUGCGAUGAUGUGAAAAGAAUUUCUUCACCUGAUUACGAACAUGAAGUUGAUUAGACCCUGAGCAAA
rfam:Lingula anatina scaffold565, whole genome shotgun sequence.